rnacentral:rRNA from 1 species
AAGUCGACUUCGUUGUGUGUUUCAGACGUUGAAGACCUAAAGCGUCGGGGAGCGUACUAGGAUUAGAAACCCCGGUAGUCUAAGCCGUACAGAUGUACGCAUGGCAUGGGGGGUAUAGAUACCUCUCCGUGCCGAUGCUAGCGUGUUGUGCGUCCCGCUCGAAGACUACGGCCGCAUGGAUUAACCUGGAUUGACAUGAGAGGGACCCACACAAGCAGCGGAGCGUGUGGUUUAAUGAGAUGGUACAAGAAGAACCUCACCUGGACUUGACAGGUAGGUAGCAGGGAAGUGAAAGCGGAAUGUCCAUUAGGGGAGCCUACAUAGUUGUUGCAUGGGAGUUGUCAGUUCGGAAAGCGAGGUGUCGGGUUAAGUCCCGUAACGAACGCAACCCUUGCCAUUAGUUACAUGUGUUUAAGGGGACUGCCCGGGACAACUGGGAGGAAGGUGGGGAUGACGUCAAGUCAGCAUGGCCUUUAUGUCCAGGGCUACUCACACGCUACAAUGGCCGGUACAAUGGGUCGCCAAGCCGUGAGGCGGAGCCAAUCCCCCAAAGCCGGUCUAAGUUCGGAUUGUGGGCUGCAACUCGCCCAUAUGAAGCAGGAGUUGGUUUGUAACCGGGCGUCAGCAAUAGUGCGGUGAAUACGUUCCCGGGCCUUGUACA